GGCUCGAUGGUCUAGGGGUAUGAUUCUCGCUUUGGGUGCCAGAGGUCCCGGGUUCAAAUCCCGGUCGAGCCC